GAUGAACGCUAGCGGCAGGCCUAAUACAUGCAAGUCGAACGGGAUCCAGAUCAAAGCUUGCUUUGGUUUGGUGAGAGUGGCGCACGGGUGCGUAACGCGUGAGCAACCUACCCUUGUCAGGGGGAUAGCCCGGCGAAAGUCGGAUUAAUACCGCAUGACAUCAUUGAGAGGCAUCUUUCGAUGAUCAAAGAUUUAUCGGACAAGGAUGGGCUCGCGUGACAUUAGCUAGUUGGUAAGGUAACGGCUUACCAAGGCUACGAUGUCUAGGGGCUCUGAGAGGAGAAUCCCCCACAAUGGUACUGGGACACGGACCAGACUCCUACGGGAGGCAGCAGUAAGGAAUAUUGGUCAAUGGACGGAAGUCUGAACCAGCCAUGCCGCGUGCAGGAAGACGGCCAUAUGGGUUGUAAACUGCUUUUAUACGGGAACAAACGUCGGUACGUGUACCGGUCUGAGUGUACCGAAAGAAUAAGGAUCGGCUAACUCCGUG
rnacentral:rRNA from 1 species